ensembl:lncRNA
UAGUAUUAGUAGUAGCAGUAGUAGUAUUACUAGUAGAAGUAAUAGCAGUAGUAUUAUUACUAGUAGAAGUAAUAGCAGUAGUAUUACUACUAGUAGAAGUAAUAGCAGUAGUAUUACUACUAGUAGAAGUAAUAGCAGUAUAUUUACUACUAGUAGAAGUAAUAGCAGUAGUAUUAUUACUAGUAGAAGUAAUAUCAGUAGUAGUAUUACUGGUAGAAGUAAUAGCAGUAGUAGUAUUACUAGUAGAAGUAAUAGCAGUAGUAGUAUUACUGGUAGAAGUAAUAGCAGUAGUAG